rnacentral:piRNA from 1 species
AGACCCUCCAGGUACCGGAGAUAG